rnacentral:rRNA from 1 species
AUGAACGCUGGCGGCGUGCCUCAUACAUGCAAGUCGAGCGAACGGACGAGAAGCUUGCUUCUCUGAUGUUAGCGGCGGACGGGUGAGUAACACGUGGAUAACCUACCUAUAAGACUGGGAUAACUUCGGGAAACCGGAGCUAAUACCGGAUAAUAUUUUGAACCGCAUGGUUCAAAAGUGAAAGACGGUCUUGCUGUCACUUAUAGAUGGAUCCGCGCUGCAUUAGCUAGUUGGUAAGGUAACGGCUUACCAAGGCAACGAUGCAUAGCCGACCUGAGAGGGUGAUCGGCCACACUGGAACUGAGACACGGUCCAGACUCCUACGGGAGGCAGCAGUAGGGAAUCUUCCGCAAUGGGCGAAAGCCUGACGGAGCAACGCCGCGUGAGUGAUGAAGGUCUUCGGAUCGUAAAACUCUGUUAUUAGGGAAGAACAUAUGUGUAAGUAACUGUGCACAUCUUGACGGUACCUAAUCAGAAAGCCACGGCUAACUACGUGC